rnacentral:misc_RNA from 1 species
UUGUGACAUUAUUGUUUUUGUCUGCUUAUAGACAUUGUCGGGAAGGGGAUGGGCUCAUAGCAGGUUCUCUUUUUGGGUGGAAACUCCCAGCAGCAGCUAACGAAAUGGAGCAGGAAAGUCAAAUGGGUAAGCAGGUUUGUCUGGUUUUUGCCGUUAAUGGACAGAGGUUCCAGCUAUCUAAUGUUGAUCCUUCUAUGACUUUGCUUGAGUUCUUGCGAACCCAGACCCCUUUCAAGAGCGUCAAGCUUGGUUGUGGUGAAGGUGGUUGCGGUGCUUGUACUGUUCUGGUCUCCAAGUACGAUC